UGGGGAAUUUUGGACAAUGGGCGAAAGCCUGAUCCAGCAAUGCCGCGUGUGUGAAGAAGGCCUUCGGGUUGUAAAGCACUUUUGUCCGGAAAGAAAUCCUUGGCUCUAAUACAGUCGGGGGAUGACGGUACCGGAAGAAUAAGCACCGGCUAACUACGUGCCAGCAGCCGCGGUAAUACGUAGGGUGCAAGCGUUAAUCGGAAUUACUGGGCGUAAAGCGUGCGCAGGCGGUUUGCUAAGACCGAUGUGAAAUCCCCGGGCUCAACCUGGGAACUGCAUUGGUGACUGGCAGGCUAGAGUAUGGCAAGGAGGGGGUAGAAUCCACGUGUAGCAAGUGAAAUGCGUAGGAGAUGUGGAGGAAUACCCGAAUGGCGAAGGCAGCCCCCUGGGCCAAAUACUGAA
rnacentral:rRNA from 1 species